rnacentral:rRNA from 1 species
AGUGAACGCUGGCGGUAGGCCUAACACAUGCAAGUCGAACGGCAGCACAGUAAGAGCUUGCUCUUACGGGUGGCGAGUGGCGGACGGGUGAGGAAUACAUCGGAAUCUACUUUUUCGUGGGGGAUAACGUAGGGAAACUUACGCUAAUACCGCAUACGACCUACGGGUGAAAGCAGGGGAUCUUCGGACCUUGCGCGAUUGAAUGAGCCGAUGUCGGAUUAGCUAGUUGGCGGGGUAAAGGCCCACCAAGGCGACGAUCCGUAGCUGGUCUGAGAGGAUGAUCAGCCACACUGGAACUGAGACACGGUCCAGACUCCUACGGGAGGCAGCAGUGGGGAAUAUUGGACAAUGGGCGCAAGCCUGAUCCAGCCAUACCGCGUGGGUGAAGAAGGCCUUCGGGUUGUAAAGACCUUUUGUUGGGAAAGAAAAGCAGCAGGUUAAUACCCCGCUGUUCUGACGUUACCCAAAGAAUAAGCACCGGCUAACUUCGUG